CAGGGGAUAGUUUGACUAAAAUAUUAAAUUUGGGUUUUAAAGAUAGGGAUUUUCCUUCCUCUGA
rnacentral:tRNA from 1 species